rnacentral:tRNA from 17 species
AGACCAGUGACGCAGUGGUUAGCGUGCCGUUCUUAUAAUGCGGAGGUCGUGGGUUCAAAUCCCGCCUGGUCUA